rnacentral:rRNA from 1 species
UACGUAGGGUGCAAGCGUUGUCCGGAAUUAUUGGGCGUAAAGAGCUCGUAGGCGGUCUGUCGCGUCGGCUGUGAAAACUCGGGGCUCAACCCCGAGCCUGCAGUCGAUACGGGCAGACUAGAGUGCUGUAGGGGAGACUGGAAUUCCUGGUGUAGCGGUGAAAUGCGCAGAUAUCAGGAGGAACACCGGUGGCGAAGGCGGGUCGCUGGGCAGUAACUGACGCUGAGGAGCGAAAGCGUGGGGAGCGAACAGG